UGUUGGCAUGUUCAUGAGGAAAGAGAUGAAAAAAAAAGAAUACAAUAAACAUCAAAUUUUUCCUUAGUUGUGCUUCAUUUCAUUUAUGAAUUGAGAGAAAGUUUGCAUAAUAACACAUAAUCAUGAAAACAACUUCUCAAGGAGCUCGGUCCUCGCAUGAUGCCUUGAUUGUAGCUAAUUAAUUGUAAAUAAAAAUACUAUAGAAAUACUCAGUUCCUGUCUUGGAAGAGACACACUACAAAGAGUAUCAUUUGAAGAAAAACAGUGCUGCCCUCUUUUCUCCCUGGAAAGCCUGACCCUUGUGCUGAAGCUCCAGGGACCGCUUUUCGCCUGCUGAUAGGAGUAUAGAAUUGACACAUAAAUAAAACCUGGAUACAAGAUGGACGCAGACAAACAUAGGCAAACGUCUAAUCAUGCUUGAAAGCAUAUGCACAAAGUUAACCUAUUAGGUAUGCAAGAAGAAUACCCAUCGGCAGUAGCAAGAACCAUGGUAGAACUCCAUGAAAAUUUUCUCAAGGCAAAACAGAUUUCUCUCACACUGAUGUUUGAAAUCCCAUCACAUCAAUUUUGAUUUAAGGAAUUAAAGGCGCGUCUCAACUGAGGCUUCAUAAGCAGCACCCGUUGUCAGAGUGACCCGAAUAGGUGUAGUAAUUCUUUGUGCACCAUUAGUGGUGGGGCUCCAGCAGAAACCUAGAUAAAGGAAUAUUAAGUUGUGUGAUCUAGAUGUCAACCUGAGUUUUGCCAACAUAAAGGGAUACUGUAAGAGGGGCGAUAUGAAAUAUUUAUUACAUAUAAUAGGAAAACAACAACAACAAGUCAACAGGUAAAUGAAUAGUGCAUUAAUAUCAUCUGACAUGGAGCAUAGUGUGGAAAAUUUGGAACUUCGAUGCUUACUUCUCAGCAUAUCUACAGCAAAGGAAAAAAAACCAGAAGUUGGAUUUCAGUUUUAUUGACAGAGUGCGGAACUAUAUCAAACAAUUACUUCCAAUGUUGACUACAGUACAGUUUGAAAAAUGGGUCAAUUUCAUUGCUGUUGACUAUUAUCGUGAGCUGGUACAAGCAUUUCAGCAGUAGCAAAUGCCUACCCAUAUAAACACAACAAAACGAAGGAUAACUCUUCAUGCCUAAACAAGUAAAAUGUACCUACCUAGAAGUUAUGCUGGGAAAGACGAAUCUGCAAGGUGUGGUCAAACAACAGGUAAUUAUUCAUCUCAUCAGCUACAAUUUUUGACACCUGAUACACCAAAAAUAUACCCAAAAUUGUAAGCGAACAACACAAAUACAGCCUGGUCCCAAUUUAUCUCAAAUGCACGAACUUACCAAACACCAAGUAAGAUGUUCACAUGGAACACACGAAUAUCACCAGACACCAUGUAAAGCUAUACACAAAUGCAAUACAGGACGCCGUGUGCUAGGAUGAAUCAAUAUCACAUGGAACACACGAAUAUCACCAGACACAAAUGUUCGACGCCGAGGGAAUGAAUUGAUUCGCGAGUAUUUUGUGAACUGCUGAUACCUGACAG
rnacentral:lncRNA from 1 species